rfam:Bombyx mori DNA, contig: Bm_scaf9_contig7430, strain: p50T/Dazao, build 2, whole genome shotgun sequence.
UUAACUCUAAUUUGUAUGGAGUUGGAACAGCGCCCCUAGCGGCAAACGUAGGGACACUGUUCUAACUCCAUACAAAAUAAAAAAC